rnacentral:tRNA from 1 species
GCAUUGGUGGUUCAGUGGUAGAAUUCUCGCUUUCCAUACAGGAGACCCAGGUUCAAUUCCCAGCCAGUGCA